GGGGGCAUUGGUGUGUUUAGAGGCGGUCACAGCGCCAUCAGCGCCAGCCACGCUGCUGUUGGCACAUGGGGUUCCUCACGCUCAGCAGCCCCGGAGGAGGAACACCCCGAGGAACCCCAGCCCCUCAGCAGUGGGAUGGACACCAGCAGCUGAGGUCAGGGCUGCAGCAGGUGCAGUUUGAGGCUCCUUGGAGACUUCAGUACCUAGAGCUUCAAAGAAAAAAUACUAAGUUAACCAUCAGCUGCUGCUGGGAGCACCAAAUCUGCUUCUCCACUUCACUCUGUCAGAGCCAGGAGCAUAUUUGCUGUGUUUGCCUCCUUUCACGUUCCUCACCACUCGGACGGGUUUCCCAGCUCUCCAGUCCUUGGCUUCAGCUCCAUGUUUGUCGUUGAUGGGGGCACUGCAGUUCAGAGCCAGAGCUCUGCAAGGAAACUCCAGUCAACCCCCUGUAUUGACCAGCCUGAACUCCUCAGAAUCACAGCAAUGGCUACAAAAACUGGAAGCGACUGCCUCCUUGCAGACACAGGAGUCCUUUCUGAAUCUCUUCUGAGGAAGAAGGAUGUAGCCAACCUUUUGUUUGUGAAUCUCCGCAUCGUACCAAAAACCUCUCUCUUUGGGUUCAUCAGGAUUAUAGUUGACCAUCACCACCUGUCCUACCUCCAGCUGGUGCCAC